GCCUUACAGGUAGCGGUUAUCACUCCGGAUUCUGAUUCUAAUCAGUGUCUUCCGGCAACCCCGGUUCGAUUCCGGGCAAGACC
rnacentral:tRNA from 1 species